rnacentral:sRNA from 1 species
GUCAGCUCUGGCAAACGAGCUAUUAGUGAAAUGUUAAGUACAAGUCUGUUCUCAGUUACCUUUCGAUACCCGUCGUUUAGCUCCUGCGAUAACUUCUCUUCAUAGUCAAUUCAAUAGCUUUAUGUUCGCAGCUUUUAACUUAUUUUAAAUUUCUAUCGAGGUAUCUACAUGUCUUCAAAAAUGACUGGUUCAGUAAAAUGGUUCAACGAAACUAAAGGUUUCGGUUUUAUCACUCAAGAUAACGGUGGCGCUGAUGUCUUCGUACAUUUCAACUCUAUCGUAUCAGACGGUUUUAAAACUCUGGCUGAAGGUCAGAAAGUAAGUUUCGACGUUGAACAAGGCAAAAAAGGCCCACAAGCGUCAAACGUUACUGCUCUGUAAGAUUUCAAAAAGGUGUGGCGCCCUGUCGCCACAUCUUCU